GGCGUCUGCGUCAGGUGCCACGGGGCCCACAGCCCAGGCGCGCCUGAAGCCCAGGUCCUCGAGCGGCUGCUCCAGGUACCUCCCCUCCAGCGCCCGGAACGAGUUGAACACGAACCCCCAGCUGUCGUGAAGGUUCCACAGGAAGUUCUGCCUCACCGACGCGGCGACCUGCUCGUCCAGAGCGCCGGCCAUGUACUUCCUGUACAUUAUCAAGAGCUCUCUCCACUGGAACGACGGCUCGCCGGGAAUCGCCGGGAACAAGACGCUAAACUCGUCGUCGUCGUCGCACUCCGCGGGGCGCCACACCAGGCGGCGGAAGGUCGAGUGCGGGACGGCGGUGCCGAGGACGCCGGACGGCGAGAACACGAUCCCCGCGGCGCCGAUCUCGCGGGCCAACGGCUGAGCCCAUCCGCAGAAGAAGUCGGCGACGACCGCGACGACGGGAUCGGGCUGCGCUUUAGCCCACGCGAGGAUGGGCCCGCGCAGCUCGGCCAAGGCGUGGACGAAGGCGGGGAAGUGCCUCGCCUUGCGGGCUUUGCGUUUUGCCCAACAGACUUGGUGGGUUCAAAGAUGUUGGGCCACAAAAAUAUUGCAGCUGGGUCACUACAGCCACGAAUAAAAACUUUGCGGGCCAAACAUGCGGGCCUCGUUAAGAGCCCGCCCCGCCUGCAAUUGUAUGCCUCGGGCUGCAGCCCUUGGUGUUCUCGAGCCCCGGGGGCAGGGACGGGUGGGAGGGGAACGGGAAGGUGGCGGCGCGGACGGCGGUGGGGUGCGCGGCGAGGAGAUUGGAGAGGAGCUGGAGGUUUGCCGGAGUCGUGACAACAGUAAGGCGGAGGCCGCGCGCCGCCAGGAGGGCGACGAAGUCGAGGAGCGGCAGCGCGUGGCCCUGCGCCGGGAAGGGGAUGACAAGCAUGUGCGGCGCCGCCUCGGGGGUAGGGGCCGCCUCCAUGGCUGGGGCCUGGGGCCAGUGUGGCAGAGCGGCGGAUGCCGGGUGGAGAGACCGGAGAGACGGCCAGUGUCGUUUUCACCGCCGGUAGAAACGGUCGUCUUUUACGUCAACAGCAGACAGCGUGCCCAAAACCAAACAACACGAACGCACACGGCUACGUGUAUGUCAGGGAACCGGUAAUGACACGAAGGCAAUUACCGGUUCCCUGACGUACACAUAGCUGGCUAGUAAUUGCCUUCAUCAACUACUCAUUUCACAAUUUGCACCUUCAACCACUUAUACUAACAAGUGGAUCAUAUUCAUACUAAUAAUUAGCUAUAUGACCAUCAACACUAAUAAUAAGCCUGGACUAAACCCGUUCGGGCCCUGGGCUUGAUUCUGUUCAAGUGUUCAUGGUCUGAAAGGCAUUGUCAAUCUCGGUCCGGCUUAAAGGCCCGUCGAAGCCCAGCAGGGAAUUAGUCGGCCCCUUUCACUAAAACCAGGUGAGGAAUCUACUAACUGCCUUUCUUCUCCCGUCCACCCCUAGUGCGCUCGUCUCUCUCGGCGACGACUGGGCUACCGCCGCCGCCGCCAAACUUCGUCGGGCUCGCCGGCGACGAGCUCCCACCAGGUAUCCCCACCCUCUCUUCCCUCACUGCUGUGCGAAACCAAGGACCCAAUGACCCUAACUUAAGCUAUUUGGCUAUUUCUACUCGGAUCCGAUCUAAUUACAAGUGCAACAGGAUCAGAGGAGGUGGUGAUGGCGAGAGGUGACAGCUGCCUGGCGCGCGUGGGUGCCGGAGUUGCCAUCGGUGGCGCGGUCGGCGGAGCCGUCGGUAACCUUCCUCCCUAAACCCCUAAACCCUAGACUUGCGGCAUCCAUCCAUCCGUUCGAGGUGCUUCGCCCGUGGGUGUGUUUGUUGAAGUAGAUUAGUGUGUGAUUUCAGGGAUCUUCUCGAGCUAGCUAUACUGAUCCCUGGUUUGUCUGGUUAACUGGCGGCCACAGAUGUAAUAACAAGGUGGCUUUUGUUAAGAGUUCAUGCUUAGGUAGCAUCUUCUGGAGGUGUAAUAUAUCGAUGCUCUAGUUGAGUUUAUUUGUCCAAUUGCUUGUGCUUUAAGGGCUGUUGCUGAUUUGAUGUGACGUGGUUUGGUUAAUUUGCUGGUGGUGGGUAGGACUUGUGAUGAAAAAUGUAAGUUCAAAAGCUUGUUCAGUGCCACUUUGGAAUGUACCAAUUAAUAUAUUCGAAUUUUGGUUUAGUUUCCUGAUUUGGACUCCAUUGUAAUGGAAAGAUGACAGCAUAUGGAAUUGUCUGUAUGCCAAGUUACUGGUAUUUUCUGUCAAAAAGUUGUCAUUCGCUUGGUGGUUUUGUAUUUAGCUCGUGGAGAGAAUACUGAUGACUUGAAGGGGUGGAUGUGGUCAUGUAUUAGGCUACCAGUCUGGCUUUCUUACCUUGAUAGUCAUUACUUUUGGGUUUUGUAAUAAGGCAGAAAAGGCGUGUCUGUGGACUUUUAUUAUUUUUAUGGGGAUUGUGUUGACCAGUGCAUCAAGGAGUACCUAACAUGCUUGGCUUGCUUCUUUCGUGCAAUAACUAUUAUGCAAUUGUUGCUUUCAAGGUGUAGCUCUAAUCAAGUUACUUAUAUUCCCAACGCUCAUUAGAAGUUGUUUAAGGCAGCCUAAUUAGCCUGCAUGCAGUGUAACUUUUUCUGUCCUAAAUUUCAUCCUUGUAUGACCGGAGGGAGUUGGUAGUUCUCAAAGUGCUCUUGUGCCCAUGUGCCUCCUAGGAUACGAAUAUCAUGGAAAUAAAUGGUAUAUGUUUUCUUCUUUCUGUUGCCAUAGCAUAAGAGUACCAAGUUACUAAUUGACAUGUUUUUCCUUCUUCCUCCGCAGGUGCUUGCUAUGGAACUUUUGAGGCAUUCAGAUACAAGGUACUCAUACACUGUUUGCUUUGUUAUACACAAAACCACUAUGAUAGGGCUUCUAUGUGAUUUCCCUUUCAAUAUUUGGUUUCGUGUCAUUCUUUCAUAAACUUUUGGAUACUGAUGCUUCCAAACAGUACUAGGAAAUAAAUUGAUUACCCUGUCCUUCAAUAUUCAAAGGAUUCAAAUUGAUUAGGUCUUGACUCUUGAUUGUGCACUUCGUUAACCUUAGCUAAGAUUUACUUGAUUGUGCACUAUCUGAAAUAAAAAUUUAGAGUUGUUUUUUGGGGUUAUCAUGAAUGCUAAUCAGUUUGAUAUUCUGUUGCACAGAUCCCUGGAUUGCUAAAGAUCAGAUACAUUGGACAAACCACUGUUGGCAGCGCUGCAAUUUUUGGUCUUUUCUUGGGUGCUGGGAGCUUGAUUCACUGUGGAAAAUCCUACUAGUUUGUUUCCCUCCUUUUUCUGAACACGACUUUGUCGAUGGGCUUCAGAGGAGGAUUCUUGAUUUUGAGUGCUACCCUGGGUGGCUUCAGUCAAAACUAUUCAAUGUCUGUACAAUUUAACAGCUAAUAGCUCAGGGUUGGAAAGAACAAUCAAGUUAUGCCCCAGUGUUGGUGUGGAUGGAAAUAUAAUCCAUGUUCAUCUGUACGAGAAUCGUCAAUUUCACAUAUAGCGUCUUAUGUUCUAAUAUGAUUUUGUUUGAAAAAUGUAAGGAUUUCUUAUGGUCAUCAAUAAUACUUUUCUUGCUAGAUGGAUGUAAUAUCGCUCAAAACGUAAUGGCAGCUAUAUGCUAUUGUUGAAAUGCAAAGGGCAGCCGGCCAGGGCCAAGGUUGACGCAGCAUAUUUUAUUUUUGUAUUUUCGUUUAUAUCGCUCCACACUGAUGGAUGAUUAAUCGUGUAGUUUGUUUUUUCGCGAUAAAAAAAUGUCCUGUGAGUUGAAAUAAUCUCGUACGACUAGCAAUUCAGUAUGCAUAAUCAGUUGUAACACUUAACGCUGUCAACGAGCCAUUUCAAAAUGUGUCAUGCUCAUGCGUUCAUCCAUACUGCAUUAUUUUAUACUGCACCUCUUCUCUCACUGUACAUAGCUAUGCUGAAGACUUAAAAGCUACUCCUACAUAUGCUAUGCUUGACUUUGUCGUCAAGGAUACUAAGUACAGACAGUAACCAUUGUCGCUCGAAUAAACUCCCAGUGGGUCGAGAUACAGUUGUGGACAAAGCUAUCAGGACUAGACACUAGAGUAAACUAGGACAUCACCUCACCAUAGUUCUAGGAGUAGAACUAAAAUUGCCAGAACUUCAGAUAGUUUCAUGUUCAGAAGAGGCAGAAUUACAACUCUCUAUGAAUCAAAAAAAAAAAAAAAGAAUUACAACUCUCGGAUCUCAAACACCUGUAAUUAGUUAUGGCAUACUCACUGUCACAGACCAAUCAAUGCCCGAGGUCGGUGCUCGAUGGUUAGCAAGGGCAAACCAUACUGUGAAACAGCUCUUACAAAUCCCAUGUUAGCAGUCAAAGUAGGAGCUCGCCAAUAGUCACCUGUGCCAAAAACAAUUUUGGUCUUCAUCGCGAGCUUCCUUGUGGUUGGAAGAUCCAUCAUUCGUGUUGAAGGACUGUCUGGGACAGUGCUGCAGGUCCAAAAAGUGUUGGUACAUACUCUGUAAGAUACAGUUUGCGUACUUGCGUGGUUUAAAAAAAUGAAUUCAAGGCCAUUAGCAAGCUCCAAACACACUGGAUAUGAUAAACAGUGACUUGUGGAAAAUAAGAGAGUUCCUAGUCUACCACGGUUGUAGUACCUCUGGGAUAUGACAGCAAUUUAUAUGGACAGGAAAAUAUUAGCUAGGUUCGAGAACAAAUAUUUGCGCAGAUGAAGAGGGCAGGAAAAAAGCUAGCUAGCAGAUGCAGCAUGUUUCACUCAGUGUUACUAGAAGCAAAAGCAGUUUCAGUUAUCUACCAAUUUCGAAAAUAUGGAGUACAUUUUUAAGUACACAGAAUGAAAGUACCAGUUCGACCAAUUCAUAUUGAGUUCAUUAUGAAACUUAUACUGGGCUGCCAGUGUAGGAGUACUAAGGACAUGUCCACAAAACACAAGGUUGAAAUGAAAAUCAUACAAUACUUUACUACAAACAAUCUUGAAGUACCUCAGUGCAUCUACAAUUCUACAUAUAUCACUCAGUAUAAGGAUCAGAUGAACAAGAAUAUCAUACAACCUUUGGGCACUACAUGUACCUAACAAAUGAAAUGCACAUAAAGAUAGGAAAUGAAAGAGCAAAAGUCCGCUUCAUGAACUUGAUCAUGUGUAAGUUCUCAAAAGGAAACCUGAUGAUGUGUUAUGUCUUAAACGUUGUAAGCAAUAUAUGGUAACAGAAGAGUCGCACUCAAAAUUCAAAGCUGCUAACAGAAGAAUCGCCCUCAAAAUUCCAAAUUAGAGCUACUAUAUAGUGGCACAAAAUACUGUACCCACAGAAAUCAAAUUAGCUAUGUAACAGAACUUACGUGAGUUGUUUCAACAAAUGUCUUGCUCUGAUGUUCUCUUCAGCUCCACCACACAUCGAAACAAUUUCUUUGAACUCCAAGUUGACAGUUUCACAUAUGAUACAUUGCUUCCCCUCCACUGCUUUCCCCAAAUCUAUGAGUAUUGGAAACUGCAGUUCGGGUUGUGCCUACAAAGCAAGCAUGAAAUAAUUCAAGACAAGAUCGACAGCAUGGUAUUCUUUUGUAAGUAGUACACAGUUCUCUAAUAUAGAUUCACUCUUUGCAGAAACAUAUUUUCUGAAUAUUCAAGUAAGUGUUUGAUGUGGGCUUCCUUACAGAAAUCACAAUGAAACACAAUUAAAUCUGUGUACUUGAUUGCAGUUAACAACUGAUCAACAAUAUUUAGAACUGGGUGAUGAAAGACUGGCUCCUCGGCUGUAAAGGAAACAUUUCCAAGCGACCUGAUCCAUGACGAACUUGUAGUUGCACUUGAACCUUGCUCUGGUCUCUGCCUCAGGUGUAGCCAUCAGCUUCCCUACCCCGCCAUUGCUGAUCCCUGACACUAUAGCAACCAGCGCGGUGGUGUCCAAAUUCACCAGCUCCCUCGAUUCCCUCCGCAUCUUCCCCAUAAAGGCACCAAAUGCUCCCUCGAAACUCAAAGGCUCCUCAUCAGCACUUCCCUCAGCCACCGCGGCUUCUGGUGGCAGCAAAACCUCGCCAGCACUCUCCACGACAUCAAUCUCGAACGCCCUGAAAUUCCUAAGGUCCUCACUCGGGUUGAAGCUGACGGCAACCCACCCGUCCCCAUCCUCCUCCUCGGAGUCGCCAAUGAACUCCUCGAGCAAGUCAGUGUCCACGGCCUCGAAGUCCUCGGCGAGCCCCCGCGCGAUAUCCACGCCGACACCGCGGGAGAAGACGAGGAGCAGCUUCUCGGGACGCGUAGCGGGCGGGGCACCGCGCGCGGCGUCCAGCGCCGCAGCGAAGCGAGCGCGGAGGCCCCCGGGCGGGGCCCAGGCGAGCCUGACGGGGUUGCUCGCAGAGACGAGCACCCACGCGGGCCGGCCGCGGAAGGCGCAGGCGAAGUCGACCCCCGGGAGCGGCGAGAGCCGGGACGGGCUCCGCACGGCUGGGUGGGUGAGGACGAGGUGGAGCGCCGCGAGGUGGGGCAGGUUGGAGGAGAGCGGCGUGGCCGCGGCGGGGCGGAGCGAGGAGAGGAAGCGCAGCUCGGCGUCGACGAGGCGGAGGAGGGAGCGGAGCGCGGGAUGGCGUGGCAGGUCCGGCGAAGCGGCAAGAUGGUCCUGCAGCGCGACGCACCGCGCCCGCGCCCGCGCCAGCUCCAGCUCGGAGUCGGCGGCGCACCCCUGCCGUGCAUCCAUUUUCGCUGCGAUCCGGUUUCGGCCGUAGUGGGGGAGACAAACUAUGGGUCGGAAUGGGCCGGCCUACAUGUAGCACGGAAAGUGGGCUGAAAACGCGAAACACAAAACGGCCCACGGCUCGUUUAUGAUGACGUAUAAAAGUGGCCCGAAAAUAUAGCCGUUGGGCUCGACUUUGUAGAUGCGUUCGCUUUGGUUUGCCUUCGGUACUCCGCGGUCCGCGCCCUCCGCUUUCGUUUUUUCCCCCUCCCCCUCCCCUCCACUACCGCCGCCGCCGGCCGAGUCCCGUGGCGACAUCCUGAGCCGGAGCGCCGUAGCUCCUCCGGAUUCGAGACACCGAGCGCACCCCGAGCUCUAUCUGUAGGUAUACUUUCAAGAUCUGGUCUUCUGUUAGCUUGUGCUCUGCGAAUUAUGCGAUGCUUUCGUUUCGUGUCCCACACUCCCAUUGCCACACGGGUGUGCUCCCAUGCGCCCUCCGGAGGGCCAUUUGUUUCGCCUGUUUAGUGGGCAGGCGCUGGUUUGAGUGACGCAGCUAUUUAGUCAGCAAGCGCUGGUUUGAGUGGUGCAGUGGUUUGUCUGGUCAGCUGUUGUGCUGUGUCUUGAGGUAACGUCUAGGGUUGCGGAAUUUGUGGCCAGUUCUCACUCAAAUUUUCAGUUAUUUAGUUAAUUAUUUCCACCCGAAUUUUGGAUUCAGUUUUGCGGGAUGGCAAACUAGAAUUUCGUGUUUUCCUUUAGCGCACUUCAUAGUUCAUAGGACAUGUGUUUUCCUUUAGCGCAGAUAUCUCUGUCCAGCGUUUUUGUUGUGUAGGGGAGGGGGUGGGGUAACGAAUUUAAGAUACCUCGCAUUCUGUCACACUCUUGUCACUAAAUUCUGGUGGAUGUAAAACACUGGAUUUAGGCCUUGUUUAGUUCCCAAAAUUUUUCAAGAUUCUCCAUCACAUCGAAUCUUUAGACAAAUGCAUGAAGCAUUAAAUAUAGAUAAAAAAUAACUAAUUAUAUAGUUUACCUGUAAUUUGCGAGACGAAUCUUUUGAACCUAGUUAGUCCAUGGUUGGAUAAUAAUUACCGAAUACAAACGAAAGUGCUACAGUGCCCAAAACCAUAUCCUGCACAGAUUGGGCCUAAUUCAUGUAUAUUUCCACAAGUAGAUUUUUUUGAAGUAAUUAAUAUUUAUUCGUGAUUGGAUAGUUGUGAAGUACCUUGUGGCAUUGCUAGGGGAUAUGGGUAUGAGUAUGGCCAUAUAUGUUGAUGUUUGCUACUCUUGGAUAACAUUGUAUUGUACUACUUUAUGAAGUUCACCCACGUAAUUCUAUGCAUUCAGGAUCUGUGUUUGAUUUAGUUUGGAGCAUAUUACUUAUGGUCCCAUUAUUGUAGUGUUUGGAGCUGAAAAUGAGUGAGGCAAAUACUACUCAGCUUGACCUUGAGAAAGGAUUUUCUCAAGUGUCUAAUGAUAAUGAUUCAAGUAGCCCUGCAACUGUGCAUAAGAUGAAAGCUGAGACAGAAGAUGGUGGAAGUGAAAUCGAAUCACCCACUCCAGAAAAACGUGAAUCUAGAAGCAAAGGGGUUGUUGUGAGUUCACUGGCAAGGAAUUUGCUUGCAGAGAGGUACAAAGACAGAUUUGCAUAUCAGCUGGUGGAAGAUGAGGGUGAGACAGAUGAAGAAGACUAUAAUGAAAGUGUUUCGCCUAGUGGUAGCCGAUCUCUUUUUCCAGAAAGCAUUGAACUUCUUGAGAAGUGAGUCAUUCUAUUCUCAUCUCAAUAUCUCAUGCUGUGUGUGCUGCCUAGCCAUGAUUAUUCACCUUGUCUUUCUUGUUCACAAUGGAAGACACAAGGAUUUGCUGAAUCUUUUCAAUAGAAUGGAGAGUUCUAUAAGAUUGCUUCACCUACGGAAGAAGAUGGCUACAUUUAAUAAUAUUGCCACCCAGGUGGAGAUACUCGCAAAAAGGUAGUAAUGACGAUGAAAGUAUCUAUAUGGAUUAUUAUUAUUUGUUUGUUUGUUGCAGUUGGAUGAUAAUCUUUCUGCGUUACAGGAAGUUGUUAUACAGUCAUUUGGCCCAGAUGAAACAUUUAUUCCCAGAGGCAAUCCAGAUAAAGAGGAUACUAGUACAUGAUGAGAAGAGCCUAUGCAUGUAUGCUGAUAUGGAAAUCACACUUGUAAUGGAUGUUGUGGAAUGCACAAGCCCUGAUCAGUCUCCAUCCAUGACAAUUUGCGAGGCUUUUUACUCAAAGCUUUUGAGAUUUUUGGAUGCUCAUCAUAAGGUACUAAACUUAAUUUAAUUAGCCCUUGCUUAGGUAGUAGUUAAUUAAUGAUGUUCACAGUAUGAAUGUAUGAUAUUUCCUUUAAUUUGUUAAGAGCAUUUUAACUGAAGUUCUGUCUUCUCAUUUCAAGUGAACCUAUAUAGUUAUAUGUUCUUUUUUAGGGGUUGACCUAUAUGCACUUUUGAUUAUGUUAGUCUUCAAGCCAUGAUAAAUUAAUGACUCACUCAGCAUUCUCAUUGCAAAUUGUUAUUUAUGCAGGGUGCAGAUAUUCCUGAGGCAAUCCUACCGGAACCCUUUAAUUCAAGGCCAAGGGAUAAGUUAUAUCUUGAGGCAGUACAUAAUGGGCAUGCUGCUGAGCCACCUAUGCAGGGUGCCGCUGAGGAGGAACUCUCAAAUGCUUCCCACUUUCCACAAUCUUUUCAAAAACUCAUGUCGCAGAAAAUCAUUGCUGAUGGAACUGAAAAGACUCAAUUGCUAUCUGAUCCAGCAGAGCUGAGCUCUGUGAACGUUUAUGAUACAGAAGGGUCAGACAGAAACCCUAAAAAGCAAGAUGAACAUGCUCCAGCUCCAGUGAACUCUGAAAUUUCUGCUACUCCAAGCCGUCAUUUGACCUCUUGUUGUCAAGAGAGUACACCAAAACAAGGGACCUCAGAGUCACCAUUGUUGUCUGGAACACCUGCAAUGCAGACUCCAAAUAGGCCAUUGCCGACUCCACUUGAGAAACCCAAGGUCACAUGUGGACACAUUAGUGAACCACGUUCAGCCAGUUCUGCCCGCAGAUCACUAAAUACAUCGUUAAAAUUUGAAGGAGGAAGCCCUUCUUAUUAUGAUGGAAUGGAACAUACGACUACAGCUGAAAAGGGCAUAAUCUCAGAAGACUCAUCAAGUUUUAACAAGUCAUUUGAGGUAUCUGAUUCCCAUCCAUCACUUUUUUUUUGACAACCCAUCCAUCACAUUAAAUUGUUAUCUGUUUGUAUAGCACAUAAUUGCAUGCUAGAAGAUCACAGAUGCUAUAGUCAAUAACAUACACUACUAACAAAUGCUUGUGCUUUGGAUUCUGAUUUCUUUAAAAACCCAGUUUGCAGGAAUAACUAUGGACAGCUCUUUCUGCAUUUAAUUCUGUAUCUUAACAACGUUAAUGUGGGUUGUGUCAAAUAGAUUUCUUAACUAACUAGUAACUAGCUUCAUCUAACACAAUAUUCAGGAAAUAGGUAUAUAUGACUGUUCAAUAAUUCCUAGAAUGGUAGCACUGCAGUUGUUGAUGCUUUGGGAAAAAGCCAGACAUCAGACUACUAAUAAUCAGAGCAAUUUACCAAUAAACUUGGAAUUUUAUACCCUGAGGUGCAGUAAUAAGUUUGUUAGACAGAAUGACCAUUUCUCUUUUGUUGUCUGUAGAAAUGCUCAAAUGCAUUAUAAACAAGGAGUGUUACUCUUGGUUUUCUACGUAUGACAUGGUGUCUGACUAAUAGAUGUCUUGCUUCCCGCUCUGUUAUUUUCUUUUGCUGUAGCCUGUAAUAAUAGUUGGAAGAAUUACAAUUCCAAGGUUGUUCCAGUUCAUUUGCCUGUUGGUUAUUUCCUGACCAAAUGAACCUUUUCCUUGCAGGAAGAUAGUCCUGUCUUCUUUACUGAUAAAGACAAAAUCAAUGAAGUAGACUCAGUGGAUACUCAAGAAAGGAUGGCUUCGCUACAUACCACAUUUGACAUAGUCUGCGAUAUUUCUCGUUCUACCAAGAAUUCACUUAUCACGAAACAGGAACUUUUCCACAAUAUUCUUGCCAACAACUUGGAGAUAGAAGAGAUUGGUAAUGAGGAUCACUUGAUCCGUGUACCUUCCAAAUUAUACUUGAUGUUUCCUGAGCUAUGCUGAUCGUAUUGUCUUUUUUACUAAUAGGGGAGAUAGAAGAGCAGCUGCAUAUUUUAGAGGAUCUGGCUCCUUCUUUGAUAUCAAAGAAGGUGAUAAAUGGAGGAGAAAUACUUUAUAGGUAAGUUUAUUUAGUAUUACUAGACAGCAUCCCUCUUUAUCUUUUUCUAUUUAAAGUUUUUUCAGCAGAAUACUGACAUAUUAUCUCUAAAAUGGCAGCAUCGAGCCUAUAACAGAUCAGAAUUCAGUUCGGGCGAGGCUUGUAGAACCUGUAUGAGAUAGCUGCGAUUGGUUCAAGCUGAAGAAAUUAUCUAUAUGUAUGUACCACUAAUGAAACCCAUAUUAGCUCAUUACCACCAUGUAAGCAUCUGCAUGGCUCAUGUCUGAUUCGACUUCAAAUCUGUGUUUUUGUUGACCUGCUCAAUGCUGACUCCCUGACUCAAAUUCGCACUAGCUUCUCUGUGAGCUUACUGUGGUAAUCCCAUGAACUUGUGUGGAGUUCAGCUGAACUUUGGCAUCUGCUCUGUGAUAUUUACUCAUGAAAAAUGAAGAAGAAAUUACUGGUGUGUAAUGCUGGUGUGAAGCACAUUCGUAUCCCUGUAUGCAUUUAGAUAACAAAGCCUUUCAUUACUUCAUGCAGUAUUUAUUCAUUAUUCAAUAAUGACAUAUAUCUAUAUGUAGCAAUGACAUGUCAUGCAUACAGUACACUAGUGAUGGCAAUAAGCCCACGACCUGUAUCCUCUAAUCAUAUGUAUGUUCCCGGCACGUAUCUAGUUCCAACAGAUGGAGCAAAUGCAGGCAUCAACUGCCUCACUCGGACCAGGUGAUGUCCACCAUCCCGAGGUUUAGAUCGAGUCCCAGGGCGUUCCACACCGCCGGUGAGGCGUCGACGAUGUUGUUGUCGCACGGUGGCUCAAAAUUGUGCUCGUCGUCACAGCCGUGCACGGAGUCACACUCGUCCACCACCUUGGCGUACACGGAAUUGCCGUUGGCGCUGAUCUUGAUUUGAUGACCACAACGCGCCAUGUUGCUGAACCACCCUGUGGAGAGCGCCACCACCUUCUCCUCGUCGUUGUGGUACGCGUUGUCGCACUCUGAUGGGCCACCGCCAUCCUUGCCCUUCUCAAAGCUGUUGAGCGUCAGCACGGCCUUGGUGCUCGCAGUCACCGGUGGCGAGCAGUGGUACUGUGGAUACUUCUUUCCAUCUUCACAGCAGUCUGGGUCGUUGCUCUUCUGGCAGUUGCCAGAGUGGCCAGGGAGGUACCCGCUAACGCGGCACGUUCCGAGGCCGGUGCCAGGGCGGAGGGAGGAUGCCAUGUGGGAGGCGGAGAGGGCAACUAGGAAGAACAUCGCCAUGGCGGCUAUCCCUCUCGCAGUGGCCAUCAUUGCUUGCCUGAAGAAAUGGUCGAGCUCCUUCUCACUCUGUUUUUUUUUUCUUUUUGUUUGUCGAGCUCUGCUGUGCUUGAUGGUUUUGAGAUUAGUCGUGCAUGGGAUUAUAUAUAGUGGCCUUUCCUGCUUGCUACAUUAGUAUGAACUUGCACUGAUGCACAUGGCGUACGGAAUGGUUUGAGUGGAUGCCAUUCUCGAGACGGUAAUCCGUUCUUAUGUGCUGUAUUCAACGUCUCUUUUUCGAUUGUUUAUAUGCCAAAUUCUUGUGGCGUAUUGUAUAUUUAAUGUUUGGGAUAUCGUCUCCUUAGAGUAUAGAUGACUUGUUUAAUAGGUGGUCUAAGAUGGGUGAUAACAAACAUGAUUCGUUGUUGUUGACUAUGGGCUAAACUUUGUAAUAAUUGGUCUAAUUCUACCAGUUGGUAGAUAAAGUCGGGUAUAAACUAUCUUUUAUCUUUAAAAAAAUCUAGAUGUGUCGUAUGCCCGUCUGAAAUGGUAUGUACUCUUUCGAUGGGAACAUAUGGAGUGGAAAAGAUUUGUCAGACACGGAAACAUGGGGUUCACCUAGGUUAAUUUCAUAGACAUAUUGGAAUUGGAGAACUCACGGGGAAAAAAUAUAGCCUUUAGCUGUACCACUUUUACCCCCACCAUGAAUGACCACAAAUUUGUCCUCACCAUGGUGGCGACAAUUCCUGCUAUGGUGGCUGAUUAUUUGGCUGGUGCUAAUAUUAAUGCUGAUUUAUUGUAAUAAAAAAAUAUUAUUCCAUAGUUGAAAAGUAGUACUGAUAAUUGAGUAAACUUGCUGCCACCUCGUUGAUGAUCCAAUGACCCGCACUACGCCACAGAAGGUAAUUUGAGACGGCUCGUGAUAUCACUUAGUGACGGUGAAUUUACGUAUUUAAAAAUUUACGACCGUGAGGAGUCUGGUUCGAUUAAUUGGACGUAUGGUUUGGCACAUCCACUGUUCCCUAAUGUUUACGGUGGCUGUUUACAAGAGUGUUACUGUUCGCGCCUAACUGUUCAGUGUUUCACUACUCUUCGUAGGAUGGCUACUUACUGCUCACGGAUUACUGUUCACGUUCCCGCUCUACAUUAUUCAACAGCCAAUUCAGACCGAGUGGAGCCCUGAUUUAGACCAGUUCAUCGAGUGUUCAAAAAAUACCACCAGAUCUUUAUGUCAGCAGUCAGCUUAAUUAUUUUUUACUUUAAUGUCGGCUUAAAAACACUACAAUAAAUUAAUCUCUUCAUCUUGGAAAAAACGACAUGCCUAAAUGAAGAUAAAAAAGAUAUUGUUCAUAUAUAGAUCAACAACUCACAUUAUAUUUGUUUUAUUUAUUUAGACACUUAGCAUUAGACUAUCAAGAGAUGUACUACAUACGUUCCAAAUUAUAAGAUGUUUUGACUUUUUAAAUACAUAGAUUUUGCUAUUCACUAUGUCUAGAUAUAAAGUAAAAGCAAUGCAUCUAGAACGUUGUCUUAUAUAUAUUUUGGAACAGCGGCAAUAUUUAAGAAAAAAACAGUAUAGAAUUGAUUGAGAAAGCUUGUUUACGUAUAAUUAUAAUUUGUAGUGAUUAGUGAGAACUAAUGAGAUAUAUAGAUGAGAACCAUAUAUACAACAUUUUUUUGGGGGCGGGGCGCAAGCCCCUGCUCGCCCUCUUGUCUCCACACUACACCAAUGACAUCACCAAUUGUCACAAUUGACAAAAUAAGCCCUAAUGCCUUGUUGGUUCGGUCCACAGUCCACUGUUAGAUCAACAUCAGCUAAGACUCAUGAGCGGGAACUUAGAACGAGCUCGGGAACAAACACCACGUUAUGUGCAAUGACCAUUGCAAUGAUGGCCAUGACGACCGUGACAACUAUGGCUAUUGUGGUUGUGACUACCAUCAUGGUGACUGCAACUACAACCGACGUUCUAAGAAGCCUACCUCGGAAAGUAUGACAAGGACACAAACUCGGGUCACUAGCUUGAGGUUGAGGACUACCACCUUGCAUCCAGAGCAUAGGUGCUAGUGACAUCUUCGCCAUCUAGUACCUGUGAUCAACCAAAACUGGGGCUAGACCUGAGACAGACGAGUAGAUUUUUUAACCCUAACUAGAAAUUUGCUCCCACAGAGAAUAUGACCCAUGAUCUGAGGAGUGAUAUUGAAGCCACAGAAUCAACUUAGUUAGAGGCCCUAUUACCUCAAGCGUUAUUAUUCAAUAUUCAACAAUGACAUAUAUAUCCAUAAGCAGUAAUGACAUGGCAUGCUUACAAUAUACUAGUGAAGGAAAUAAACCACCGACCUAUCCUCUAAUCAUAUAUAUGUACACAUCUCGUAUCAAAUGCCAACAGAUGGAGCAAACACAGCCAUCAUUUCCCUCUCACUCCUCAGACCAGGUGAUGUCCACCAUCCCGAGGUUCUGGUCAAGUCCCAGGGCGUCCCACACCGCUGGUGAGGCAUCGACGAUGUUGUUGUCGCACGGUGGCUCGAAGUUGUGCUCGUCGUCACAACCAUGCACAGAGUCGCACUCAUCAACCACCUUGGCGUACACGGAGUUGCCAUUGAUGCUAAUUUUGAUGCGGUGCCCACAGCGUGCCAUGUUGCUGAACCACCCGGUGGAGAGCGCCACCACCUUCUCCUCGUCGCUGUGGUAUGCAUUGUCGCACUCCGACGGGCCGCCGCCGUCCUUGCCCUUCUCGAAGCUAUUGAGCGUCAGCACAGCCUUGGUGCUAGCCGUCACCGGUGGCGAGCAAUGGUACUGCGGGUACCUCUUGCCAUCCUCGCAGCAGUCAGGGUCGUUACUCUUCUCACAGUUGCCAGACCGGCCCGGGAGGUACCCGCUGGCACGGCACGUGCCGAGGCGGACACCGGGGCGGAGGGAGGAUGCCAUGUGGGAGGCGGAGAGGGCAAUUAGGAGAAACAUCGCCGUGGUGGCUAUCCCUCUCGCAGUGGCCAUCUUUGCUAGCCUGAAGAAAUGCUUAGAAAUGCUAAUGCUCCUUCUCACUCUGUUUCCUAUCUAUUUCUCGUGCUCUGCUUUGCUUGAUGGUUUGAGGUUAGUGGUGCAUAGGAUUAUAUAUAGUGGCCUUUCCGCUUGCAACAUUAGUAUAAAAACUUUCGCCGAUGCACAUGACGUACGGAAUGUUUUGAUCGAUGUGAUUACCGGAGACGGCAAUCUGUUCACCAACUAAUGUUUUUCGUGGUGCCGUACGCAAGAAAUGGUUUGAACUCGUUAGAUGGGAACGUAUAGAGUAGAGAAGAUUUGUUAUAGGCACACAGAAACGUGGGGUUCACGUAUGUCAAUUUCCUAGCCAUAUUGAAAAUUGGAGAUUUCAGGGUGAAAAAACUUCGGCCGUACCAGUUUUACCCUAAGGUCUUGUUUGGAUGUUGUCGGAUUCACUUCAAUCCAUGUGUGUUGGUGUGGACUGGGGUGGAAUUUAGUUCAUGUUCCACUCCAAUCCACCUCAACACAUGUGAAUUGAUGUAAAUCCGACUACAUCCAAACAAGGCCUAAACGAUAAACUCUAACACAAACAACCUGCAUUGAAUGACCACAAAUUGGUCCUCACCAUGGUGCCGACAAUUUUUAUAGAUAAUACUCCUAAUUGAGUAAAUUUGCUGCUACCUCCUACAUUACACACUAUUGCUAGAAGACUCGGUCUCGCCAUGGGACUGACAAAUGCAAAGUGGAGCGGCAAUAUUUAUAAAUGGAAGCGAGAAUAUCCACUUGUAACAAAGGUUACAGAUAAUAAUAAAUACUGGUAACCACUCGUAAUACAUUUCACAUUUGUCAGUAAAAAGGUUAUUUCAUUCAUUCAUUGUGCACAUCAAUAACAACUACUCUUGUCCAGGAAAUUGGGAGACUUUCUUGUAUACAACUUUAUGAAGUUGUGGGACGGCAAAAAUUUGCAACAAAUCAAUAGUGUAAGCAUAUAUAGCCUAUAACAAUACAUAUCUUACACUACAAAAAUAAUAAUAACUAAUUAUCAUUUGCCAAGUACAGCACUCAACUUCGCUGAGGAUGGAAUUUUUGGUGGACAUUUUGGCGAGCAAAGCAAACGAAUGUUUCGACAACAUCCCCGAAGAUGUCCAGUACAUGAUUAAAGAGUUAAACAAAAUGUAACAUAGAUGCUCAUAAUAAGACAAAUAGCUCUAUUAUGCCUUGUUACAUGAAAAAAUAUUUUUCGAACUAUAGUUUUUGUUUUUCAAGCAUCCUAAAAUUAAGCCGUAGCGUUAGCACGGGCACUAUACUAGUACUCCUAAUUGAGUAAAUUUGCUGCUACCUCGUCUCAGGAGUCUGUUUCGGUUGGUUUUAAUUAGAUGCAUUGUUGGGCCUUUUAGGCCAAAUUAGCGUGAGGUGCACGGAUAUGCAUCCCUUGUUGCUUUAUGCUGGUCUAUUCUUCUCAUUGUGUUAUCAUCUUUCUUUCUUUUUCUUUUCUUUUCUCCCUUGUAUGAGUUUUUUUUAAAAAAAAAUUACUUGUGGCCAUGCACGUUGCUAUGGUUAUAGCACAAACACACUUGGAGGUGAACGAUGAAAAGUGCCCAUACCAAGAAACAAAACUUUUAAUGUCUGUGAUCACUCUUUUUCCUACACUAACGACUUUUAGAAGCGCCUCGUUUUUGUUUUUGUUUUUGUUACGAAGAAACAAAACUUAGAGUAUUCAUGAUCACAAUCAUUAGACAAAUGAAGUUACCAAAGUAGCUUGCAAAUAGAGUCGUGAACUAGCCGCAACUUGUAAAAUAUAGAAGAUAAUCAAAUUUGUGUUUGCCCGGUGGAUACCAUAGACUAAGUAGAUGUGAAGUUCUAAACAAAAGAAAAAAAGAAGCAAAAUAGAAAUAGAAAAAUAUGAAAAAAAGGAGUUCUUAUUUAUUCUUCAAAAUGAUUGCAUUUAAAUUUGUCUAAAAAGAUUGAGCCGGUAAAUAAAGCUAAUUCCGGUGGAUGACUAAGGGCUUAAUUUAGUUGCCUAAACCAGGUUGGGCUAGGCUCCUCACAUAUAAAUGGCAGGGUUAGUUGCCUAAACCAGAUCCGGCUAGGCUCCUCACAUAUGCAAUUGGGUGCAUGCAUAAAUAAUGCAGGACUAUGCUGACGGAGCGGGUGCAUGGGGAGGUUGGAUAGUCGGAUAAGCAGGACCUAGCCAAAUUGUAGGACAUGUGUUAGGCUUGCUUUGAGGAGAGUCGCUCUAGCCUACAUAAAAACUUGUGCAAGUAACCAAGCAUAAGUAAAUUGCAUUGCGAGGCCUAGAGAAGUUAUGUAAGCAACCAAUUAGACCCUCCAUUUUUCCGUCUGACAACCCUUUCCCUCUCUCAAAUGGCAGUCAUAGAUCUUGCCUCCCCCCUCCAUUGUGUAGCAGGUACCAGUUGUGCACACGCGUGCUAGACGUUGUAGUGCAGUGGCCUAAGGCAUAGGUCAAGGUCCCCUCCCCUUCUCCUAAGGCAUAGGCAUAGGAUGCGUACAUCAUGUCCACGACUUCAUCCUACACCAAGCUCUCAGUGAGCUUGGCUACCCCCAAAAACCUUGGAUUUCACCUUGAUCUUGCAAAUGCUUGUGAACCAACAUUCAUAUGAUGUGAAACCAACCCCUCCUGAUUUAUCUAUUGUGGAUAUCUUUGCAAAAAUAAAAAGUAGGGGUAAUGUUGUGUGGACUACAAUGAUUGAGACUUUAACCUAGUAGGCAGUGUUCCGACCUUUGGAAUUUGUGGAAUGUUUCAUGUGGUUCUAGAGCUUGGACACAACAUACCACUGGCUUGGAUUGUAAUUGUUGAGCUAGAACAAUAUAUGAUGCAUGGAUUCUGUCGAAUAUAUGGACGGUAUAUUCAUUGAAGCCAUAACAUGCCCACUAGAUAUAGGCGUGAGCAGGUCGAUUGGUUAGGGGAGGAUUAAUUUGAGGGGUGCUUUGUCUACUUGGCACGUAAGGAUUAUAUGGAUAGACAUAUAAGCUAAGUUCGGCAAGCUCAUCUUUGUGACUCAGCUCUAAGGUGCAUUACUAGUUUUGUGUAUUUAGAGAACACAACCUUUCAUUUCACCAUGUGCUAUUUAUUCAGUACUCUCUCCAUUUUAAAUUACAUGAUAUGGUUUCUUCUAUAUGCAUUAUUUUUACUAUAUAUUUAGACAUAGUAUAUCUCUAAGCAUAAAGUAAAAGAUAUAUAAAUGUUUAUUAUGUAUAUAGAAAACAUAGGACACGUUAUAGUUUGAUGAUGAAAUAGAGUAUUCAAUAUAUAUAUAUAUAUAUAUAUAUAUAUAUAUAUAUAUAUAUAUGCAGUACACACAUACAAUACACUAGUGAAGGCAAUGAGCCAACGAUCUGAUGUAUCCUCUCAUUAUAUGCACACGGCACAUGCCAAGUGCCAACAUAUGCACACGACACCUCACUCCUCGGACCAGGUGAUGUCCACCAUCCCGAGGUUCUGGUCGAGUCCAAGGGCGUUCCACACUGCCGGCGAGGCGUCGACGAUGUUGUUAUCGCAUGGUGGCUCGAAGUUGUGCUCGUUGUCGCAGCCGUGCACGGAGUCGCACUCAUCCACCACCUUGGCGUACACGGAGUUUCCAUUGGCGCUGAUCUUGAUUUGGUGACCACAACGCGCCAUGUUGCUGAACCACCCAGUGGAGAGCGCCACCACCUUCUCCUCAUCGCUGUGGUACGCAUUGUCGCACUCCGACGGGCCGCCGCCAUCCUUACCCUUCUCAAAACUGUUGAGUGUCAACACAGCCUUGGUGCUCGCUGUCACCGGCGGCGAGCAUCGGUACUGUGGGUACUUCUUGCCAUCCUCGCAGCAGUCCGGAUCAUUGCUUUUCUCACAAUUGCCAGAGCGGCCUGGGAGGUACCCGCUGGCGUGGCACGUGCCGAGGCCAACGCCGGGGCGAAGGGAGGACACCAUCUGGGAGGCGGAGAGCAUGAAUAGGAAGAACAGGGCCAUGGCGGAUACAGCUCCUGCAGCGGCCAUCUUUGCUUGCCUGAAGAAAUGCUCGAGCUCCUUGUCACUCUGUUUUUUUUCGUGCUCUGCUUUGUUUGAUGGUUUGAGGUUAAUCGCGCAUGGGAUUAUAUAUAUAGUGGCCUUUCUGCUUGGUACAUCAGUUUGAACUUGCACUGAUGCGCAUGGCGUACGGAAUGGUUUGAUCGAUGUGAUUACCGGAGACGGCAAUCCUUUCACCACCGAGUAUUUUUUUUGUCGCGCCGUAUAAAAUUGUUUGAACUCGUUCGAUGUGAACAUAUGGAGUGACCCCUCAAAAAACAUAUGGAGUGGAGAAGAUUUUUGUUGUACACAAACGUCGGGGGUUCACAUAGGUUAAGUUCAUGUUCAUAUUGGAAAUUGGCUGGAGAACUCGAGACAAAAUUCGCACUGAAUAAUCACAAAUUGCUCCUCACCAUGAUGCAGACCAAUGUCGGGCCUGAUUGGUUCCAUCGUACGAGGCAUCCUGGCUCCAAUUGUUGCAUGCUGGUUGAUCUGGAGCAGCUUCUCUUGAGCCUCUACCUAGCUGUACUUUCUCUCACGAUAAAUCAACGAAUAAUAUUUUCAGUCAUAGCUUUUCAAACCAGCGAACAGGCUAACGGAACACACUAUUUUUUUUUUAACAAUAUCAUUCCCCGGUGGCAUUUUAGUUGGUAAGAUCAAAGAGGAGGCUCGUGCUUGGGGUACCACCGGCUCUAAUGCCUGUCUCAAUGGAGAUUUUAUAGAAGUUUUAUACAUAUUAAAUAUGCUGAUGUGGCAACUACAUUGAUGAAGAGAGAGAUGGUGAGAGUUUUAUGGGAGUAGAUAUAAUUUUAUGGAGAUAAAACUUUUCUACACCGUUUUUAAAAUACAAGAGUUUUGUAGAGUGGGCCAUGAAACCUUAUUGAGACUGGAAGUGCUUGAGGGAAAUAUACUUCCGUGUAUAUAGUGUUUUCCUCUCUUUUUUUCCCAUGUUUUGCACAUGUUCAGUUUUUGUGGCCUAGGCCAAACCUUCCCCGGCAGGUUCUGUCCAUUUUGUGUGGGAGGAAAGAACAACAACCAAGCAACCAUCUGUGACAAAAAAAAAAAAGCAACCAUCUGUGACCACAUUUGUUCAAUAAAAAAUAACAUUUCGGGUGGGUGCUACCAAAAUUCGCGUACGCGAGCUGCAGCUGAGUCUGGUGAUCGGAAUUGCUUACCAGUUUCGCACGGCUUCGGUUUCAGAUCUCGCUCCAACAACAGUUCUUGUAAAGUGUUACAGAAGUCGUACCAAAUAUUUUAGGAGAAACUUUUUCCCGAUAAACAGUGAAAGAGCCAAAGUCAUUUUUAGACAAAUUAAAUAGUCAGGACCGCAAAAUAUGGCUCUUCUUGUGCUCCGACUUAUAGGAAGGAGUAUUUGAGAAUAAGACCAUUUUUAAUGCAAGGUUUUACCUCUCAAUUUUCAAGACGUGAAAUUUAAUAUAAAACGUAUCUCUCUCAGUGUAUAGUUUUAUAGAGUUAUUUUAGCCUUUGGGAGUCUCACCAUUAUCUCUCUCAUGCACGCGAUGAAACGAACUAAUGGCUUUCGGUAGGGGUUUUAUUCGGUUUCCAAUGUUUUGGAAACAAUUCUCUCCCCUUCUCGAUACAUGCAAAAUCUUUAUUUCUGUUGAUGUAGCACUGUACUUAAUGUGGAUGAAAUCCCAUAGAAUCUACAUUAAAAUUGACCUAAGGGCGUCCUCAAUGGUGCUAGCUAUGUAACUAGAUGACAUGGAGGUAAGAAACAAAAGCAAUGACUAUUUUAUACUAUAUUUUUAUUUUCUAUGUACUAUUGGACUCACAUGUUCCUCUCAUAUAUUUUUGAACUAUGUAAAAUAUAUUAGUUAUUUAUUCAUCGUUAGUAACUAUUUUCUUUCAUACUUUUUUAUUGUCCGCGUCAUAAUAGCUAGCAAAUAGCUAGUCCUUGGGACGCCCUAAGUUGUGCCAAACGGACCUCAAUUACACUUUUUUAAGUGGUGUAGGGACGCGGAAGCUGCUGGAAGUUAAGCCUAAUCAUGUGCCGUCAGUUACAAAAACUAUUCGCCAAAAAAAAAUGCACACCGAAAACUAUGAGUAUCCUUUCUUAUGGGAUUAUUAUGCAAAUGUUCUUUGCAAGUAUAUUUUAGAUAUGCUGAGAAAACAAAUGAAACCUCGAAUUAUCAAAAAGAAAAUGAAGCCUUCAGACUGAAGAAUGCAUCCCUUUGAAACAAACUUUUGUUAUUGAACGUGAUUAUAGUCGACCAGGACAGUGUAACAGUUAAUUAUACAGCAUGCCAGCGCAGCAAUUUAUCCUGACGAUCCGCUCGAAUUCAAUGAACAUUCCGAAUCUCCUGCACUAACCCGUCCAAAUCAGCGUACGAGCUCCCGCCUGGCUUCACCGCCCGCGCGGCCUCCGCCGCGAGCUCCUUGGCGCGCGCCCUCACGUCGCGGCCCUUCUCCCCGACCGCGUCGGCCAGCACGGUCGCCAGCUCGCCCGGGUCCGGCGCGACGCCGAAACCCCACGCGCACGCGGGCACCGCGACGCGCGCCUCGUCCACGAGCAGGCGCGCGUUCACGAACUGGUCCGCCGUCAUCGGCCACGCCAGCAUGGGCACGCCCGCCGCGGCGGCCUCGAGCACCGAGUUCCAGCCGCAGUGCGUCAUGAACCACCCCACCGCCGGGUGCCGCAGCGUCGCCAGCUGCGGCGCCCACCCGCGCACCACCAUCCCGCGGCCCGCCUCCGCCGCGCGCGCCUCGAACGUUUCGGGGACGACGCCGCUGCUCCCGGCGCUCACGACCCAGACGAACGGCACGGCGCUGCGCUCCAGCGCCUCGGCCAGCGCCGCCGCCACGGCCGGGGUCAGCACCGCCUGGCUCCCGAACGACACGUACACGACCGAGCCUUCCGGGAACGGGUCCAGCCACGCGCCGAGGCUGGCGGCCGCGACGGCCGCCUCCCCGCCGCGCGCGCCGGCGGCGUCUGCGUCAGGUGCUACGGGGCCCACAGCCCAGGCGCGCCUGAAGCCCAGGUCCUCGAGCGGCUGCUCCAGGUACCUCCCCUCCAGCGCCUUGAACGAGUUGAACACGAAACCCCAGCUGUCGUGAAGGUUCCACAGGAAGUUCUGCCUCACCAACUCGCGGACCUGCUCGUCUUCCUCCCUGCCUUCCGCGUACCACCUGUAAAC
rnacentral:lncRNA from 1 species